AGAGCACGGACUCCCUCAGAAUCUGUGUGUGGGCCGAGUGGGCUCAGUGGUCCGCACGUCCCUCCCCAGCACCUAAUAAGAUAUACUGAAGCCAACCACGUCAGUUUGAAUUAAGAGGGCUAAUGUGAUUCCAAGCCCUGGAGACCCUGGAACAAAGGAAGGGAGAAGGAGUUCGAGGAGGGGCAGGAGAGAGAGAGAGAAUCUUAAGCAGGCUCCACACCCAGGAUGGAGCCCAGCGCAGGGCUUGAUCUCAUGACCCUGAGAUCACGACCUGAGCAGAAAUCAAGAGCGGGAUGCUUACCGACCGAGCCAACCAGGCACCCCAACAUUUUUUUUUAAAAGUUAGACAGGC